rnacentral:rRNA from 1 species
UACGUAGGGGGCAAGCGUUGUCCGGAUUUAUUGGGCGUAAAGAGCGUGUAGGCGGCUUCACAGGUCCGCUGUGAAAACUCGAGGCUCAACCUCGAGCUGUCGGUGGAAACCGUGUGGCUAGAGUCCGGAAGAGGAGAGUGGAAUUCCCGGUGUAGCGGUGAAAUGCGCAGAUAUCGGGAAGAACACCCGUGGCGAAGGCGACAUCCUGGACCGGUAUUGACGCUGAGGCGCGAAAGCCAGGGGAGCAAACGGG